GACGAACGCUGGCGGCGUGCUUAACACAUGCAAGUCGAACGGAAAGGCCCCUUUGGGGGUACUCGAGUGGCGGACGGGUGCGUAACACGUGCGUAACCUGCCCUUGACUUCGGGAUAACUUUAGGAAACUGGGGCUAAUACCGGUAAGGAAUCCUAUCUUCAAGGGGGGGGUUGGAAAGUUUCGGCGGUUUUGGAUGGACUCGCUGCGUAUCAGCUUGCUGGUGGGGCUGUGGCUUACCAAGGCGUCUUCGGGUAGCCGGACUGAGUAGGCGACCGGCCACAUUGGGACUGAGAGACGGCAGAGGCUCCGACGGGAGGGAGCAGGGGGGAAUCUUGCAGAAUGGGCGGAGGGCGGAUGCAGAAACGCCGCGUGCGGGAUGACGGCCUUAGGGUUGUAGAACGCUUGCAGAAGGGGCGAAGCUUGUGGUGACGGUACCUGCAGAAGAAGCACCGGCUAACUACGUG
rnacentral:rRNA from 1 species